rnacentral:rRNA from 1 species
UUAUUAAUUUAUUUGAGUUAGUUUUUUAAUUUUUAUUUAGUAUUUAGAAAUUUUAUUAAAAUUUCCUGUAAAGAAUAUUUUUAUUAAAGUUUAAAUUAUUUAUUGUACCUUUUGUAUCAGGGUUUAUUUAAUACAUAAAUUAUUUAUUUUCCCGAAAUUGAAAUAUUUAAUAUUAUUUUAUUUUUCUUGUUGUAAAAAGUUUAAAAAAAUUUUAUUUAUAAUUAAAAGUUAGUUGAUUUCAAUUUAUAUCUGGUUACUUUAGAUUAAAUUCAAUUUUAAAUUAUCUAAUUUCUAAAUUUUUUAUUUAAUAAUUUUAUUUUAUUAGGGAUAAUCUUAAUAUUUUUAUAUAAUAAUUUAUUUUUUAUUUUUUUUAAUUUUUAAAUUUUAAAUUAAGUUUGUAAUUAAUUAUUUUAAUAUUAUAAGAUUUAAUUUUAUUUAUUUUUUUAUAAAGUUUAUUUAGUUAUUUUUAUUUAUUUUUUAUAAUGAUAAAAUUAGUAGAAUAAAAAUAUAUAUUUAUUGAAUUCAACAAUUAUUUUUUCCAACUGUUUAUCAAAAACAUUUUCUUUAGUUUUAAUUUAAAGGUAAUUUCUGCCCUAUGAGAAAUUAAAUGGCUGCAGUAUUCUGACUGUACAAAGGUAGCAUAAUAAUUAGCCUCUUAAUUGGGGGCUAGUAUGAAGGAACAAAUGAGAUAAAAAUUAUAAUAAUUUAUAAAUUUUGAAUUUAAUUUUUCAGUCAAAAAGCUGAAUUGAUAAUAUGGGAAGAAAAGACCCUAUAGAACUUAAAUUAAUUUUAUAACCAUAAUUUUUAUUAAAAAAAUCUUAUAAACUUAUUUUUUAUUGGGGUGAUAAAUAAAUUUAAACUUUAUUUUUUAAAUUCUUUAUAUAAGAAUAUUUAUGAAUCAAUAAUUGAUUAAAGUAAAAGUUACCUUAGGGAUAACAGCGUAAUUUGAGUGGAGAGUUCUAAUUUAUAUUCAAGUUUGCGACCUCGAUGUUGAAUUAAGAUAAAUUUUUGGAGCAGAAUCUUUUUAAUUAAGUCUGUUCGACUUUUAAAUUCUUACAUGAUUUGAGUUCAAACCGGUGUAAGCCAGGUUGGUUUCUAUCUUUAUUAAAAACAUUUAUUUUAGUACGAAAGGACCAAAUAAUUUAUUAUUAUUUAAUAUUAAUUAUUUAAAUGAAUAUAAUAAUGAA